AGCCAUCUUGGAAUUUGUAUGUAAACAAUCUGCAAUAUUUUGCAAUAUCUUUUUUUUGCUCUUUGUGUGUGGAAUUGUAUUGGUGGGAAUAAGAGCAUUGAAAAGUUGAAAGCUCAAGAGAAUAAAUCGACUCUCAGUGUCGGUUGAUGAUGGAGAUAUUUUACCCGCGUUAGUUUUACAGCUAGAGACGUCGGUUAAUCGUUCGAUUAAUUCAAAUAAUCGAAUAUCUGUAACAGUAAUUUUAUACCAAAUAAUGAAUAAUCAAGAAAAUACAGUGCAAAAUUUGUUUAACCAUCAUGGUGUUUCGUCAAAAUUCAUAGAAUAUGCUAAAUCAUUUACGGUAGAAGCUUGAUUCCUAGGUGGUGGAGGAGACUGGGAAGAAGAAUUCAGGGUCUGCAGGAAUAAAAUGCGGACUUGAAGAAGGUGGUCUCAGCUCCCGUUCUAAAAUAGUAGUAUUCAAAUUCAGAGCGCCGAGGAAAAAAUACCAUACUAGUGAUCAAUGAUUCUAUGACCAAGCAGAGAUAUUCAAACAAAUCAGCUAUUUCAACAAACAACAUUCGAAGAACAGAUAAUUUUGAACAGCCAAAAUUUUGGUUGGUGCAAAAAAAUGCAUGUCGGACUCGACUAAUAUCGACAGACUCGAUAAUAUGUGAUUCGAUUAUAUACAAUUUUGAACUCGAUUAUAUACAGUUUGGAAAAAAAUAUUUUUUUUUGUAUUUUAAGUAUGACUUAUUUCAAGAAGGAAGGUAACCUUUUAACGAUAAGGUGAAAUUUAAGUAGCUAUUACAUGUACAGUGGGGUGAAAAUCGUAAUUUUUGAAGAUUUUGCUUGAGUUUUCACCAGUUAUAUCGUUAUAUAGUUAUUGCAGCCAAAUUAAAAAAGCAGAAGUUGGGUGUCAAAAAACAAAUUUUAGAGCGGUUAGAGAGCUUUAAUUUAAUUGAUAGAAAUGAUCUAGUUCAAUAUAAAUUUUCAGGAUAAAAUUAAUAAUAACACAUUAAAUAUUAUUAACUUUCAAGUUUUCCACUUCCAAAAUGUUAAAAUCCACUAAUUUAGAUGUUCCACUACUAUAUCCUGUACAAAAUUUCUCAUAUUUCAAAUGAAAGCAACAGUAGUUUUUAAAGUAGAGCCAGUUUGAGGCAACAAGUCCGAAACAAAAAAAAAAUAUUUCUAUAACUAUUUCAUUGUUGAAAUUCGAACAUAUGCGUAGAAGGAUUUUUAUUCAUCAAAUAUGCUCGUCUAUUACCUCCUGAAAAAAUCUGGAUAGAUUUAUUUUUUUUUCAUGCGAGAAAGGUAUUUUCUGACUUUGAGGGGGUGAAUCAAAAAUCACCUCUUUUAUAUUCAAGAAAUGAAAAAAAACAUACAAAAAACGAUUAAAAACUUUUUUCUGACUCGAUUAUAUACAGUGAAAAGGAAUCAGAAACUAUAUAUAAUAGAGUCCGUCCUGUAUUGUGCAUCAUUUUCAUGGUGUGCUCUUUUUUCAAUCAUCCUCAAAAAAUCAUGAACUUCAAAAUUAUGACAAAUUUUUUUUAUCAUAAAUGUCUGUUUGUUUUGAUUACAAGAAAUAAAUAUUCGCUCGAUUAAUCGAAUACUGAAAGACAAUUAUUCGAAUCAAUCGAAUAUAUAAAAAUCACCCCACGAUUAAUCGACAAUCGAAUAAACGAAAAAUUUAGACAUCUCUAUUUGCAGUCAAAUCCCUUCCCACAAUCCUCUGUAUACUUAUACCGUUUCC